GAAUGCUGACAUAAGUAACGAUAAAGCGGGUGAAAAGCCCGCUCGCCGGAAGACCAAGGGUUCCUGUCCAACGUUAAUCGGGGCAGGGUGAGUCGACCCCUAAGGCGAGGCCGAAAGGCGUAGUCGAUGGGAAACGGGUUAAUAUUCCCGUACUUGGUGUUACUGCGAAGGGGGGACGGAGAAGGCUAUGUUGGCCGGGCGACGGUUGUCCCGGUUUAAGCGUGUAGGUGUGUGUUCCAGGUAAAUCCGGUUCACUUUAACACUGAGGCGUGACGACGAGGCACUACGGUGCUGAAGCAACAAAUGCCCUGCUUC
rnacentral:rRNA from 2 species